rnacentral:lncRNA from 1 species
GAAACAAGGUUUGGCUAGCUGAGCGCUCAUGGGUUAGGAUGCAGCCGCUAGCUCCUCAGGCUACGGGCAAGUAAGAUUGAUGAAGCAGGAACGUUCUUCUGAGAAGCAAAGCAUGCUGGGGGAGUUCUGCAGGCCCAAGGCAACAAGAUCAAGUAACCCUGGAUUAAGACAUCUGAAGCUGUUUCUUGAAGCAAUGGAGAACUUGAUUGACAGUGACAUUUUACAGAAGCUCUGGUUAUCAAGAUGUCCAAAGGAAGGCCAACAAUGCACAGAGAGGACAAGGAGUUAGAAGCUGGCUUUACAGGGGACAGAAGCAAGAAGUGGAUCCAUCGAAUCCUGACUCUGUCUCCAUAUCAAUUCUCUGCUCUGAUGGUCCCUGCAGUGGCCAGUGUGAAGUUUGACAUUUGGUUGGUGACUCUGCCUCCAUUCCCAGGCUCCAUCUUCCACCAGUCCGUCUCACAUGACACCCAUGUACCACAUGGCAGUUGGCCUUUUACAGCGCUUGAUGGUCAUCACACAACAGGCAUCUAACUCGAACGGUGCCCAUUUGUGCGGCUGCUGUAGAGACUGAGCAAAGAAGGGACAGGGACGGACAGACGUCUUUAGGAGAGCAUUU